rnacentral:tRNA from 1 species
GCAGGUGUGGUGUCAAUGGCAACACAGCAGUCUUGUAAACUGCUUAUGCGAGUUCAAAUCUCGCCUCCUGCU